CUGUUCUCAGAUAUGAGCCCCCAAGAGAGAGCAGAAAGCAUGUCAAAUUCAUAGCAUAAUUAAGUACCCACACCAGAGGCUCCCACAUUGUUAGUUGAACUGAACUGCACAGGGUACCCAGGAAGUCCUACUGCAGGCUUUGAUUUCAUGUGACAAUGGAGGUAAAAUAUGGCUUUUAGAGAUGGGUAAUAGAAAUGUUAAUAAAAUUUAAAGAAAAUGUUUUUUUUUUUUUUUUUUCUGGAACCCACAAUAAUAUCAAUUGCAAACAUUUAAUGUUUAGAAGAAGUUGUUUCUUUGCCAUACAUUCUGUGUAACUAGACUUGCUAAGAAGCUCAGUUGAGAAUUCUAGGGGUGCUGGGCUAUUGUCCCCUGAAGACCAGUGCUCACUAUUCAGCAUGUUCCUGCCACUGUCUCACCCCUUCAAGGAUUUCUAAAAAGUCAGAAUUAUGCCUGGACAAAGCAGCCCUAAAGAGAA
rnacentral:lncRNA from 1 species